UUGUUUUAGGCGGAGAAUUCUCUUUAGGCGACUUUUGAAAGUGUUAAAGUGGCCUAUUAGUUGUUUAUGCAAGUCUCUAAGGAUCAAUAAGCGUUGCCCAUCUACAGGUUUGAAGAUGAUGCAUUAUUGGGAUCGGGAUUAGAGAGCUUAUAGUUCUAUUUGUUUAAUUAAGUGAUUUAAUUUGUUAACUUAUAUUUGAAAGUUGUCGUACUAUUCGUAUUUCUUUAUUUCCGUUAAUUGGUUUUGGACUUAAUAUGUAAUCAAUUAUUUAUGAACCUAAAAGUUAGUUUUAUGUUUUCC